UGAGGUAGGGUGUAUGGCUACCUUCACAGCAGCAACAGGAGGACCCAUGGAAAUAAGGUCAUGUAGGAGAAGCUGUUUUUCAUGAGGAUUACACCAGCUGCAUGAAAACCCCUUUAGUGCUGAUUUCACACCUGUUAGCUCCUGUGUGCUCGCUCUCUUUCCCUAAGGUGGAGGAAACCCUGAAAAUAACUUGCUAAGAGAUUCCCAAGAUCACCCACCACUUGGAAGGAGCUGUGAUAUCAAGUCUGUUCUUACUCUGCACUCUGGAAUGGGGCCCUGCUCUCUCAUCCUGGCUCUCUGGGUCAACUCCAAAGUUCUGCAGGGCACUGUACGUGGCACGUGACAGAGCAAGCCAAAAACAAAUGUCCAACGUGCAAGUUGUGAUACUUCAAGUCAAAACAUGCCCCUGUGCUGGAUUUCUAGAUCUUG